rnacentral:rRNA from 1 species
GCGCCAGACUCCUACGGGAGGCAGCAGUGGGGAAUAUUGCGCAAUGGGCGAAAGCCUGACGCAGCGACGCCGCGUGAGGGAUGAAGGUCUUCGGAUCGUAAACCUCUGUCAGCAGGGAAGAACGGUCACUGUGCUAAUCAGCAGUGAAUUGACGGUACCUGACUAAGAAGCCCCGGCUAACUACGUGCCAGCAGCCGCGGUAAUACGUAGGGGGCAAGCGUUAUCCGGAUUUACUGGGUGUAAAGGGAGCGUAGGCGGUUUAGCAAGUCAGAAGUGAAAGCCCGGGGCUCAACUCCGGGACUGCUUUUGAAACUGUUGAACUAGAUUGCAGGAGAGGUAAGUGGAAUUCCUAGUGUAGCGGUGAAAUGCGUAGAUAUUAGGAGGAACACCAGUGGCGAAGACGGCGUACUGGACUGUAAAUGACGCUGAGGCUCGAAAGCGUGGGGAGCAAACAGGAUUAGAUACCCCCGUAACU